rnacentral:rRNA from 1 species
GACGAACGCUGGCGGCGUGCCUAAUACAUGCAAGUCGAGCGGACAGAAGGGAGCUUGCUCCCGGAAGUUAGCGGCGGACGGGUGAGUAACACGUGGGCAACCUACCCUGUAGAUCGGGAUAACAUCGAGAAAUCGGUGCUAAUACCGGAUAAUCAUUUGAAGUGCAUGCUUCGAAUGUAAAAGAUGGCUCCGGCUAUCACUACGGGAUGAGCCCGCGGCGCAUUAGCUAGUUGGUAAGGUAAUGGCUUACCAAGGCAACGAUGCGUAGCCGACCUGAUAGGGUGAUCGGCCACACUGGGACGGAGACACGGCCCAGACUCCUACGGGAGGCAGCAGUAGGGAAUCUUCCGAAGUGGACGAAAGUCUGACGGAGCAACGCCGCGUGAGUGAUGAAGGUUUUCGGAUCGUAAAGCUCUGUUGUUAGGGAAGAACAAGUGCCGUUUGUAUAAGGCGGCACCUUGACGGUACCUGACCAGAAAGCCACGGCUAACUACGUGCCAGCCGCCGCCGUAAAAC